rnacentral:rRNA from 1 species
UAGGGAAUCUUCGGCAAUGGGGGGAACCCUGACCGAGCAACGCCGCGUGAGUGAAGAAGGUUUUCGGAUCGUAAAGCUCUGUUGUUAAGGAAGAACGAGUGUGAGAAUGGAAAGUUCAUACUGUGACGGUACUUAACCAGAAAGGGACGGCUAACUACGUGCCAGCAGCCGCGGUAAUACGUAGGUCCCGAGCGUUGUCCGGAUUUAUUGGGCGUAAAGCGAGCGCAGGCGGUUAGAUAAGUCUGAAGUUAAAGGCAGUGACUCAACCAUUGUAGGCUUUGGAAACUGUUUAACUUGAGUGCAGAAGGGGAGAGUGGAAUUCCAUGUGUAGCGGUGAAAUGCGUAGAUAUAUGGAGGAACACCGGUGGCGAAAGCGGCUCUCUGGUCUGUAACUGACGCUGAGGCUCGAAAGCGUGGGGAGCGAACAGG